rnacentral:rRNA from 1 species
UACGUAGGGGGCGAGCGUUGUCCGGAUUUAUUGGGCGUAAAGCGCGCGUAGGCGGCAUCGCAAGUCGGCCGUGAAAUCUCCCAGCUCAACUGGGAGGGGUCGGGCGAGACUGCGGAGCUCGAGGUGGGUAGAGGGCAGUGGAAUUCCGGGUGUAGUGGUGGAAUGCGUAGAGAUCCGGAGGAACACCAGUGGCGAAGGCGGCUGCCUGGGCCUGGCCUGACGCUGAGGCGCGAAAGCAUGGGGAGCGAACAGG